GACGAACGCUGGCGGCGUGCCUAAUACAUGCAAGUAGAACGCUGAAGAGAGGAGCUUGCUCUUCUUGGAUGAGUUGCGAACGGGUGAGUAACGCGUAGGUAACCUGCCUUGUAGCGGGGGAUAACUAUUGGAAACGAUAGCUAAUACCGCAUAACAAUGGGUGACACAUGUCAUUUAUUUGAAAGGGGCAAUUGCUCCACUACAAGAUGGACCUGCGUUGUAUUAGCUAGUAGGUGAGGUAACGGCUCACCUAGGCGACGAUACAUAGCCGACCUGAGAGGGUGAUCGGCCACACUGGGACUGAGACACGGCCCAGACUCCUACGGGAGGCAGCAUUAGGGAAUCUUCGGCGAUGGGGGCAACCCUGACCGAGCAACGCCGCGUGAGAGAAGAAGGUUUUCGGAUCGCACAGCUUUGUUGUAAGUCAAGAACGAGUGUGAGAGUGGAAAGUUCACACUGUGACAGUAGCUUACCCCAAAGGGACGGCUAACUACGUGCCAGCAUCCGCGGUGAAACGUAGGUCCUGAGCUCUUUUGUUGAUUUAUUGGGCGUUAAAG
rnacentral:rRNA from 1 species